UUCUCACUGAUUUAAGUUAAAUAUUCUAGUCUUUAGAGAAUGGGUCACAUGACUCAGGAAUUGCCAACAGCCUGUUUUCACCCAGCGGCUUCCUGGUUUACCCCCUUUAGGAGAUGAUUAAUGGAAAUUGAGAAUGUGUCUCAUAAAUUACUUUUUUUUUUUUUAAAGCAGCACAGUUUUAGGAACUUUUCGAGACAGAACAGCUCAGCCAGCCUAGACUUCCACUUGUCCUCCCUCCUCCCACUCCUGCCAAUUAACACCAGUCACCAGAGGCAAGAACCGCCUAGAUCAGAAGCGACCCCAGGAACCAGGCUUCAGCACCCCUGAUCUUCAUCAAUAUUUUCUCAACUUGCCUAAUCAUAGGACUGAGCUAUAAUUCUUUAAAAAAAAAAAAAAAACAAAACCCCAACCACACACACACAAACAGAGACAGGGUCUCGCUAUGUUGCUCAGGCUGGUCUGGAACUCCUGGCCUCAAGCCAUCCUCCCAUUCGGGCCUCCCAAAGUACUGGGAUUACAGGCCUGAGCCACCGCAUCCAGCCCUAGGCUGGAAUUCUUAACCCCACUCCUGCUGCUUUUUGCAGGCCUCACUUCUGACUCACUGGGUCUAAGUUUCCGGGAGAGAGCCUCUGGACCCUGUGUUCUAGGCAAACGCCCCUAAGUAACAGCUCCCACUUCAGAUGAGCUUAAUCUGUGCCAGGUAGUGUUAAGUGCCCUCAAUUAACUCAUGUUAUCCUCACAAGAACCUGCAAGUUAAGAAAUUUGCCCAAGAGCACACAGUUAUCAAAGGACGGAGCCGGAAGUCCAACCUGGCUAUAACUGUAGAGACCACAAACUAGGAGGCAGUGGCUUCUCAGGCAGAAACACAAAGAUUCUAAGCCGAGAACAAGAACUAGAGGACCUGGGUGGGGCUGUGUACUGCCCAGAUGGUGCUAAUGGCAGUUCAAAGGUGAGUGUUUCCUGUAAGUUGGGCCAGCGCCCAGCCUCUGCUCCCCCAGAACCUGGGAGGGCAGCACCCAAGAUAACCUGAGCACCCCGUUACCUUGGAGCCCUGAGGCUGUCUCUGGGCCACCCACUCAAGGUGGCCCCCCUACCUGCUCAAGGCUACAUACAGAGGGCUGUCCUGCCCAAACAGCCACACCCGAGGGCCGACCCAGUGCUCUGUGUGCCAAGGGAGUUUCUGGCAGAGCCACCUGAUACCCCACGUGACAGCUGGCCUCUCCCCCAUCACCCAGGGGCUACCCAGGCAGAGAGCUGAGAACACAGGGGCCAUCAGCCUCGCUAUCACCUCCACCCCCAAGUGCUUGGCUCCCCAAGGGACAGCUCUAAAAUCCCCAGAAUCUCAGGCUGGUGGGUCCAGCUGAGCAUCCUAGUUUUCACUUUCUCCUCCCAAAAAGGAAAGAACCUUGGUCACUAAAUUCUACGCCUUCUGGAAAUCACUCUGCUAAUGACUUCCUGAAUGAUCGACUGAGACCAACAGCUGGCCCAGCCCUGCAUGGAGGAGUAAGAAACCCUCAUCUGUCAGAGUUAAGGGGCCUGAAUGGGUACAGGUCACAUUCUUGGAGCUCAAGGUGACAGGCCAGAGCCCAGGUCCCCAGGACAGUGCAGCACCUUGUCCAGGCGGGCCUCCCGUUUCUGGCUCCGGGCUGAGCUUCCUGGAGAAGAGGAAGGUAAGAUACAUGGAAGGGAUGGAGGUGGUGUACACCAUACCUGCCUGGACCUCACUCAUCACUUGGGGAGCUGGUUAAACAUGCAGGUCCCCAGGCCUCUGUCUUGGAGGACCUGAGGUUCAGGGUUGGACCUCAGAGAGGGUGAGAAGCAAAGAUCUUGAUUGACAGGAAGGCACAGGUAAUGUGAAGAACAGGGAGGAACAUACUGGGCAGGGGAAUGGCAAGGGUAGAGGCCCCAGGACAAGAACAGAGUUCUGUUCAAAGAAGAGUGCAGGCCGGGCAUGGUGGUUCACGCUUGUAAUGCCAGCACUUUGGGAGGCUGAGGUGGGCAACUCACGAGGUCAGGAGUUUGAGACCAGCCUGGCCAACACAAAAAAUUAGCUGGGCGUGGUGGUGGGCGCCUGUAAUCCCAGCUACUUGGGAGGCUGAGGCAGAAGAAUCGCUUGAACCCGGGAGGUGGAGGUUGCAAUGAGCCAAGAUCGCACUACUGCACUCCAGCCUCGGUGACACAGCUACACUCCGUCUCCCCUACUCGCCAAAAACAAAAACAAAAAAAAGAGUGCAGAGAACUGGAGGUGGCGGGAAAAGCGCUUGGAUUCUCCUUUGACAUGCUCUUCCCUGGCAAGAUGGAAUCCCUUGGAAAAUUUUAAGUGGAAAAGUGACACGAUUUAUGGCUGAGUGCAGCAGCUCACGCCUGUAAUUCCAGCACUUUGGGAAGCUGAGGCAGGCACUUUGGGAAGCUUUAGGUCAGGAGUUCAAGACCAGCCUCGCCAACAUGGCGAAACCCCCUCUCUACUAGAAAAUACAAAAAUUAGCUAGGCGUGGUGACGUGUCCUUGUAAUCCCAGCUACUCAGGAGACUGAGGUAGGAGAAUCGCUUCAACCCAGGAGGUGGAGAUUGCAGUGAGCCAAGAUCAUGCCACUGCACUCCAGCCUGAGCAAGAGAAAGACUUCGUCUCAAAGAAAAAAAAAGUGAUAUGAUUUAUGUUUUAAAAGGUUCAUCUGAAUUGCAGAAGCUGGAAGCAGAGAGCCCAGUUAGGAGCUACUACAACUAUCCAGGCAAGAAAGACAGUGGCUUGGAUGGGGAUGUGGUAUUGAAAGUGGAGACUAGCAGAGGUACUUGGAAAUGUACAUCUUAUAGCUACCAAGACUUGCUGCUGGUGUGAAUGUUCAGGUAAAAGAGAGAGAAAUCAAGAAUGGCUCUAGGCUGGGUGCAGUGACUCAUGCCUGUAAUCUCAGCACUUUGAGAACCGAGGCGGAUGGAUCACUUGAGCUCAAGAGUUCGAGACCAACCAGUCUGGGCAACACAGCAAGACUCUGUCUCUCCACCCCUCAAAAAAAAGAAAAAAGGAAAGGCAUGACUCUGAGGGUAAAUUCUAGGAAGGCAUGUGGGGUGGGAAAUGGGGCCAGCGGUGUGAUUAAAGAAUGUACAUGGUAGUAGAGGGAUGCAGAUCUAGAUAAUAUUGAAAGGCCAGGACUUGGACUUCUGGGAAUGGGAAACAUGAUAGAAUUAUCUGUAAUUUUCCAGAAUCAAUGACUAGUUGUUUUUUUAAAAAAAGAAUUAUCUGUAAUUGUGUUUUUUGAGACGGAGUCUCACUCUCUCGCCCAGGCUGGAGUGCAGUGGUGUGAUCUCAGGUCACUGCAACCUCCACCUCCCAGGCUCAAGCGAUUCUCCUGCCUCAGCCUCCUGAGUAGCUGGGACUACAGGUGCCCGCCACUAUGCCCGGCUAAUUUUUUGUAUUAUAAUUGUCUCUUAAAGGAAGACAAGGGGCCAGGCGCAUUGGCUCAUGCCUGCAAUCCUAGCACUUUGGGAGGCUGAGGUGGGCGGAUCACAAGGUCAGGAAUUCAAGACCAGCCUGGCCAACAUGGUGAAAGCCUGUCUCUACUAAAAAUACAAAAAUUGGCCCAGAGUGGUGGCAUGCGUCUGUAAUCCCAGCUACUUGGGAGGCUGAGGCAGGAGAAUUGCUUGAACCCAGGAGGCGGAGGUUGCAGUGAGUUGAGAUCGUGCCAUUGCACUCCAGCCUGGGGGACAAGGGCAAGACUCCAUCUCAAAAAAAAAAAAAAAAAAAAAAGGAAGACAAGGUAGUAAUCUAAGUCAUAAAGAUGGUGCUACUGGGUGAAUACUCUCUCCUGCAGCUGUAAGUUGUGUGGGAGCUGAGGCAGCAAGCAAAGGCCUCUAGGGGAGCCGAUCUUGGGUAACUGAGCCGAGGCCCUUCACCUCCCCCAACUGUUUCCUCUUCGUUUGUACCUGGGGUGCGUCUCCGGUCAAUCAGGGAGUCCUUUGGUGUCACUGGCUCAUCAUCAAAAUCAAAUUCCGUGGGCAUGUGUGGUCUGGGACAGGUGAACAUAGUUAAGGGUGAGGGCGGUCCUCCCUCCCACCCACACGUGUGCUUCUCCCCUGCCCGUUCCUCCUCCCCCGCUGGCUUCCCUCCCUCCACUUUCAAAGGUUCCAGCGUCCCACAUUUUCCCCUCCCUAUUUCCUCCCGCCAUCAGGGGAGCAGCCCCGGGACAAGGUGUAAGGGUGUGCCUUUACUUUUCCUCUUCCUCUUCUUUGGCCUCCGGCUCCUCAUCGGAUCUCU
rnacentral:lncRNA from 1 species